rnacentral:lncRNA from 1 species
UGUGUAAUGCAAACAUUUCUUAAAUUACUUAAUUAUGCAAACAUUCAUAAAUAAAUUGUGCAAUUCAAGAAGAAUUGAACAUUUUUGGAUCAAUUCGGUUUUGGAGGAGAACGGAGAAUCAAUCAGUUGAAGAAAAAUCAAGAAUAAUUCAAAUUUUUUCUCUAUAAUUCAGAUAAUAUUGUAAGUUUGGGGUCUGCUGCACUUAUGGUGUACUCUGCCCAAUCUCUGCUUCGACUGGUAAAGCUUUUAUUGGAUCUCUCUUUGUGCAUCACAUGCUGAAUUAUAGAAGAUCAUAGGAUCAAAAGGAGAUAGCCUUGGUGCCGUGCCCCUUGUCCACGUUAAUUUUGAGCCAUCUAUUAUAAUAAUUUGGCUGAUGCAUUGGAUUCAUAAUUACAGAUUCGGAUCGGCUCAUCGGAUUGAAAAUUCAAAAUUACCAACAUUUCAAAUGGGUUGGGUCGGUUCAGGUUGGAUCGGGUCUGAAUUUAGCAAAUGCAGACUCGACCUAAAAAAUGAAAUGAGUCCAAUUUUAAAACUCGAUGCAGCCUCAAAAUAGGUCGGAUCACGGGUUAACCCAACCUANN